rnacentral:rRNA from 1 species
CAGUCGCCGCGGGAAUACGAAGGGGGCUAGCGUUGCUCGGAAUCACUGGGCGUGAAGGGUGCGUAGGCGGGUCUUUAAGUCGGGGGUGAAAUCCUGGAGCUCAACUCCAGAACUGCCUUUGAUACUGAAGACCUUGAGUUCGGGAGAGGUGAGCGGAACUGCGAGUGUAGAGGUGAAAUUCGUAGAUAUUCGCAAGAACACCAGUGGCGAAGGCGGCUCACUGGCCCGAUACUGACGCUGAGGCACGAAAGCGUGGGGAGCAAACAGGAUUAGAUACCCCCGUAGUCCCUGUCUCUUAUAC